rnacentral:lncRNA from 1 species
GGCGAUGCUCGCUCCUCGCACUGAUGCUCGCCAGCGUGAGCCGAGGUCGCUUUCUGAAAGCCAACCGGGGCCUGUCUGAGCUGUGUCCAGAACAGGCAUCGUUCCCGGGGAGAGGGAGAACCCGGCAUGGCGAGGUUCAUUUACUGAGUCUUUGUGGGACUUUGUGUGAGAUUCGGUUCCGGCUGGCCACGAAACGUUAGCCACCAUCCCAGCACUACCCGGGCAUCCCGGAGCUUCUCUUAACGUAAUUGGCUGGUUGGCCAACUGCAGUUUUCCAACCCAGCCACAGUUCUAACUAACCUCUCCUCAGACUGGAAGCUUCAAAGACAGGCUUGUUUUGCUGACGUGGGUCCUUUAUAGUGGAAGAAAGAGAAAGAAGGGAUGGGGGACACGCCUCUUUGGCCCACCCCACCCCCUUUUAAGACAGGACGUCUUGUAAUACAGACUUGCCUCAAAAACUGCGAAUUGCCCAAUGACCUUCAGUUUCUGCACCGACUGCUUCCACCUCCUGAAGUGCUGGAAUAAACUACCGUCCCAAGUUUUAUAAAGUGCUGGGGGCUGGAACUCAGGGCCUCGUGCAUGCUAAAAGAAGCACUCGACCAGCUGAGCCACAUUCCCAGCCUCCGAGUUUAUUGCUUUUGUAUACUUCCAAGAGUACCUAACCUUUCCCCUAAUUCAGGACUUAAACCUCCAUUUGUUGAUUUCUUCACAAACUUUUACACAACUCCAGGUAUGUAACUAUAACAGGAAUACAAGACAUAUUUAAUGAUAAUAAAUUUAUUUAAAAGCAUUUUUGCUAUGUAUUUGUAGCUUUCCUAUAUUAACUAUUAAAGCAAAUUUGCAUAUUAAUG